UACCUGCAGCUCAAGUGGUGGCCGCUAUUAUUGGGCCUAAAACGUUCGUAGCCGGUUUGGUAAAUGCCUGGGUAAAUCGUGUAGCUUAACUAUACGAAUUCCGGGUAGACUGCUAAACUUGAGACCGGGAGAAGCUAGAGGUACUCCUGGGGUAGAGGUGAAAUUCUGUAAUCCUGGGGGGACCACCAGUGGCGAAGGCGUCUAGCUAGAACGGGUUUGACGGUGAGGAACGAAGCCCUGGGGCGCAAACCGGAUUAGAUACCCGGGUAGUCCAGGGUGUAAACGCUGCUUGCUUGAUGUUAGUUGGGCUCCGAGCCCAAUUAGUGUCGGAGAGAAGUUGUUAAGCAAGCUGCCUGGGAAGUACGAUCGCAAGAUUGAAACUUAAAGGAAUUGGGCGGGGGAGCACAGCAGCGGGUGGAGCGUGCGGUUU
rnacentral:rRNA from 1 species